GCAGUCGAGCGCACCUUCGGGUGAGCGGCGGACGGGUUAGUAACGCGUGGGAACAUACCCUUUGGUACGGAAUAGCCUCUGGAAACGGAGAGUAAUACCGUAUGAGCCCUUCGGGGGAAAGAUUUAUCGCCAAAGGAUUGGCCCGCGUUAGAUUAGGUAGUUGGUGGGGUAAUGGCCUACCAAGCCUACGAUCUAUAGCUGGUUUUAGAGGAUGAUCAGCAACACUGGGACUGAGACACGGCCCAGACUCCUACGGGAGGCAGCAGUGGGGAAUCUUGGACAAUGGGGGCAACCCUGAUCCAGCCAUGCCGCGUGAGUGAUGAAGGCCUUAGGGUCGUAAAGCUCUUUCGCCUGUGAAGAUAAUGACGGUAGCAGGUAAAGAAACCCCGGCUAACUCCGUGCCAGCAGCCGCGGUAAUACGGAGGGGGUUAGCGUUGUUCGGAAUUACUGGGCGUAAAGCGCACGUAGGCGGACUGGAAAGUUGGGGGUGAAAUCCCAGGGCUCAACCCUGGAACUGCCUCCAAAACUAUCAGUCUAGAGUUCGAGAGAGGUGAGUGGAAUUCCGAGUGUAGAGGUGAAAUUCGUAGAUAUUCGGAGGAACACCAGUGGCGAAGGCGGCUCACUGGCUCGAUACUGACGCUGAGGUGCGAAAGUGUGGGGAGCAAACAGGAUUAGAUACCCUGGUAGUCCACACCGUAAACGAUGAAUGCCAGUCGUCGGGUAGCAUGCUAUUCGGUGACACACCUAACGGAUUAAGCAUUCCGCCUGGGGAGUACGGUCGCAAGAUUAAAACUCAAAGGAAUUGACGGGGG
rnacentral:rRNA from 1 species